rnacentral:ncRNA from 1 species
AACAUAUAUGAUCGCGCCGGUGCCUUGAGAGAGGCUUAAAAGGGAACGCGGUGACGAUGGCGUGCCCAUCCAAUCCGAGGCUGUCCCUGCAACUGUAAGCGGUAGUGCGAUGCGCAUCGCUUCCCUCGGCUAUCGAGGGAAGCAGCCACUGGGCCGGACGUUCGCGUCUGUCAUGGCCUGGGAAGGCCGUGCGUCAAACGAUGACCCGUGAGCCAGGAGACCUGCCGGUGCUGGGUCGCUCUU